rnacentral:rRNA from 1 species
AGUGAACGCUGGCGGUAGGCCUAACACAUGCAAGUCGAACGGCAGCACAGUAAGAGCUUGCUCUUACGGGUGGCGGGUGGCGGACGGGUGAGGAAUACAUCGGAAUCUACUUUUUCGUGGGGGGUAACGUAGGGAAACUUACGCUAAUACCGCAUACGACCUACGGGUGAAAGCAGGGGAUCUUCGGACCUUGCGCGAUUGAAUGAGCCGAUGUCGGAUUAGCUAGUUGGCGGGGUAAAGGCCCACCAAGGCGACGAUCCGUAGCUGGUCUGAGAGGAUGAUCAGCCACACUGGAACUGAGACACGGUCCAGACUCCUACGGGAGGCAGCAGUGGGGAAUAUUGGACAAUGGGCGCAAGCCUGAUCCAGCCAUACCGCGUGGGUGAAGAAGGCCUUCGGGUUGUAAAGCCCUUUUGUUGGGAAAGAAAAGCAGCAGGUUAAUACCCCGCUGUUCUGACGGUACCCAAAGAAUAAGCACCGGCUAACUUCGUG